UACGUAGGGUGCGAGCGUUAAUCGGAAUUACUGGGCGUAAAGCGUGCGCAGGCGGUGAUGUAAGACCGAUGUGAAAUCCCCGGGCUUAACCUGGGAACUGCAUUGGUGACUGCAUUGCUGGAGUAUGGCAGAGGGGGGUAGAAUUCCACGUGUAGCAGUGAAAUGCGUAGAGAUGUGGAGGAAUACCGAUGGCGAAGGCAGCCCCCUGGGCCAAUACUGACGCUCAUGCACGAAAGCGUGAGGAGCAAACAGG
rnacentral:rRNA from 1 species